rnacentral:rRNA from 1 species
UACGUAGGGGCAAGCGUUGUCCGGAAUCAUUGGGCGUAAAGAGCGCGUAGGCGGUCCGGUAAGUCCGCUCUGAAAGUCCGGGGCUCAACCCCGGGAGGCGGCGGAUACUGCCGGGCUAGAGUCCGGAAGAGGCGAGUGGAAUUCCUGGUGUAGCGGUGAAAUGCGCAGAUAUCAGGAGGAACACCAAUGGCGAAGGCAGCUCGCUGGACGGUACUGACGCUGAGGCGCGAAAGCGUGGGAGCAAACAGG